rnacentral:rRNA from 1 species
AACGAACGCUGGCGGCAUGCCUAACACAUGCAAGUCGAACGAGACCUUCGGGUCUAUUGGCGCACGGGUGCGUAACGCGUGGGAACCUGCCCUUAGGUUCGGAAUAACUCCCCGAAAGGGGUGCUAAUACCGGAUAAUGUCUUCGGACCAAAGAUUUAUCGCCUUUGGAUGGGCCCGCGUUGGAUUAGCUAGUUGGUAGGGUAAAAGCCUACCAAGGCGAGGAUCCAUAGCUGGUCUGAGAGGAUGAGCAGCCACACUGGGACUGAGACACGGCCCAGACUCCUACGGGAGGCAGCAGUGGGGAAUAUUGGACAAUGGGCGAAAGCCUGAUCCAGCAAUGCCGCGUGAGUGAUGAAGGCCUUAGGGUUGUAAAGCUCUUUUAACCGGGAUGAUAAUGACAGUACCGGGAGAAUAAGCGCCGGCUAACUCCGUG